CCUAAACGUCCAUCGACAGAAGGGAGGAUAAAGAAGGAAAAGUACAUCAGUGAGACCGUCGCGGCGCAUUGCACGCUGGCCGUGGACACCAGCCCCGUCGGCCGCACUCCCGGGGCCCUCUGCGGAGAGCUUCUCAGUUGUAUCGUCCAGUCCAUCUGUCUUUUCCAUAUUUCUCCCGUUGUAUUUUUAACCUGAUGGGGGCUGUUCUCUCUCCCGCUUCCGUGUCUUCCCCCCCAGGUAUGGGUACAGUUGGGUUUUUCUGGCCCACACUCACUCUCUCUGUUUCCUUUAAUUUGGGGGCUGGGGGCACCCCAUCUGUGUCUGGGUGGGUGUGUUGUCAACUGGGGGGGCUGUGCUGCAAACUGUCGAACCAGCCCCCUGGUGGGGCCCCCGGGUUUCAGUGCCUGGGGGUCCUUUCUGUGGGCCUCUCGGUGUCUCUCUCCAAAGCGGAGCCCUGGGCCCCCGGCCUGGGCACAGAGCUGAGUGACCUGCGGACGCCCGGGGGUGUCUGUCUACAAUCUUCCUUCUCCACCCCGCUACCCUCCAUAGACUGCUGCACCAGCGUCAGCCUGUUUCAUCGCUCUGGUUUGGCUUUGUUGUUGUUUUUUUUUUUGGCCUCGCUGUGCGGCACGUGGGAUCUUAUUUCCCUGACCAGGGAUUGGACCCAGGCCCCCUGCAUUGGAAGCGCAGAGUCUUAACCACUGGACCGCCAGGGAAGUCCAUCAUUGCUGUGGUUUUGAGUGCAUCUUCAUACCUGGUUCUACAGGCUUUUUUGCUUUUUUUUCCAAAUUAACUUACUUAUCAUUGACCUUGUUUCCUUACAAGUGUUAGAACAAGUGUGACAAAACCAAUGGCAGGAAGGUGAAUCGGGGUGGCAUCGCGUCUGCAGUCACCUGGGAGAGACUCAGGGUCUGCACGGCUCCCCGUGUGCCCAGAUGGAGCAGAUCUCCUCGUUUCUCGGGAUCGCCUGCGUCCAGACUUCCUCUCUGCCGGCUGACCCACUCCUGCAUAGUUUCCCUCCUACUGGGAACACUGCCCUGCUUUCUAUCAGGAUUCUGCUGGCUUACUGCCAUGGCAAGGAGCGCCACUGAUUUACAAACACUGAAACGUGAAAUGUGUACAUG